rnacentral:lncRNA from 1 species
CUUCCUAUAUGGUCCUAUAGGGGAUCCUAUAGGGCUGGACCCCCCUAUCCCGUUCCUAUAUGGUCCUAUAGGGGAUCCUAUGGGGUUGGGGGGAUGCUAUAGGGCAGGACCCCCCCAUCCCUUCCUAUAUGAUCCAAUAGGGGAUGCUAUGGGGCUGGGGGGAUGCUAUAGGGCAGGACCCCCCCAUCCCAUCCUAUAUGGCCCUAUAGGGGAUGCUAUGGGAUUGGGGGGAUGCUAUAGGGCAGGGACCUCCCCAUCUCGUCCUAUAUGGUCCUAUAGGGGAUCCUAUGGGGCUGGACCCCCCUAUCCCUUCCUAUGUGGUCCUAUAGGGGAUCCUAUGGGGCUGGACCCCCCCAUCCCUUCCUAUAUGGCCCUAUAGGGCAGCUAUGGGGCUGGACCCCCCCAUCCCUUCCUAUAUGGUCCUAUAGGGGAUGCUAUGGGGCAGGACCCCCCAUAUCCCUCCCUAUAUGUCCUUAUGGGGUCAUCUAUGGGUCCAGCCCUAUAUCUAUGGGGCAGAAUCCCCUAUUACCCCCCCCUAUUAACCUCUCCCCCACCCCCACCCCACAGGUGCUGCUGCUGCUGACCCUAUUGGGGACCCCAUUGGUGACACAUGGGACCCCCCCAUCCCUUCCUAUAUGAUCCUAUAGGGGAUGCUAUGGGGUUGGGGGGAUGCUAUGGGGCUGGACCCCCCCCAUCCCUUCCUAUAUGGUCUUAUAGGGCAGCUAUGGGGCUGGGGGGAUGCUAUAGGGCAGGACCCCCCCAUCCCGUUCCUAUAUGGUCCUAUAGGGGAUGCUAUGGGGCUGGGGGGAUGCUAUGGGGCUGGACCCCCCCCAUCCCUUCCUAUAUGGUCCUAUAGGGGAUGCUAUGGGGUAGGACCCCCCCAUCCCUUCCUAUAUGGUCCUAUAGGGGAUGCUAUGGGGUAGGACCCCCCUUAUCCCUCCCUAUAUGUCCUUAUGGGGUCAUCUAUAGGUCCAGCCCUAUAUCUAUGGGGCAGAAUCCCCUAUUACCCCCCCCUAUUAACCUCUCCCCCGCCCCCACCACGGUGCCUGCUGUGCUCGACCCUACUUGGGACCCCAUUGGUGACACAUGGGACCCCCCGCCUGGUUGUGGAACCCCUCUAUGGGAUCCAAUCUGGGUUUGGGUGUUCGGUUUUUUUGGGGUUGCGAUUUUGGGGUCCUGAUGGGGGGCAGCGGUCGCCCCCCGUGGUCG